rnacentral:rRNA from 1 species
CCUGGUGGCGAGUGGCGAACGGGUGAGUAAUAUAUCGGAACGUACCCAAGAGUGGGGGAUAACGUAGCGAAAGUUACGCUAAUACCGCAUACGAUCUAAGGAUGAAAGCAGGGGAUCUUCGGACCUUGUGCUCCUGGAGCGGCCGAUAUCUGAUUAGCUAGUUGGUGAGGUAAAGGCUCACCAAGGCGACGAUCAGUAGCUGGUCUGAGAGGACGACCAGCCACACUGGAACUGAGACACGGUCCAGACUCCUACGGGAGGCAGCAGUGGGGAAUUUUGGACAAUGGGCGCAAGCCUGAUCCAGCAAUGCCGCGUGAGUGAAGAAGGCCUUCGGGUUGUAAAGCUCUUUUGUCAGGGAAGAAACGGUGGGGGCUAAUAUCCCUCGCUAAUGACGGUACCUGAAGAAUAAGCACCGGCUAACUACGUGCCAGCAGCCGCGGUAAUACGUAGGGUGCAAGCGUUAAUCGGAAUUACUGGGCGUAAAGCGUGCGCAGGCGGUUUUGUAAGUCUGUCGUGAAAUCCCCGGGCUCAACCUGGGAAUUGCGAUGGAGACUGCAAGGCUAGAAUCUGGCAGAGGGGGGUAGAAUUCCACGUGUAGCAGUGAAAUGCGUAGAGAUGUGGAGGAACACCGAUGGCGAAGGCAGCCCCCU